UCCUGGCUCAGGAUAAACGCUGGCGGCGUGCUUCAGGCAUGCAAGUCGAACGAGUGGCCACCUUCGGGUGGUCUACUAGUGGCGGACGGGUGAGUAACGCGUUAGCAACCUGCCCAAAAGUGGGGAAUAACUAACCGAAAGGUUAGCUAAUACCGCAUGUGAUAGCUGGUCCUUGGACUGGUUAUGAAAGGCUUCGGUCGCUUUUGGAGGGGCUUGCGUCAGAUUAGCUAGUUGGUGGGGUAAUGGCCUACCAAGGCGACGAUCUGUAGCUGGUCUGAGAGGACGAUCAGCCACACGGGGACUGAGAUACGGCCCCGACUCCUACGGGAGGCAGCAGCUAGGAAUCUUGGGAAUGGGCGAAAGCCUGACCCAGCAACGCCGCGUGGGCGAUGAAGGCCUUCGGGUCGUAAAGCCCUUUUGCAGGGGACGAUGAUGACGGUACCCUGCGAAUAAGCCACGGCUAACUACGUGCCAGCAGCCGCGGUAAUACGUAGGUGGCAAGCGUUGUCCGGAUUUACUGGGCGUAAAGGGCGUGCAGGCGGUUUGUUAAGUGCAGGGUGAAAGCUCCCGGCUCAACUGGGAGAGGUCCUUGCAUACUGGCGAACUCGAGGGAGGCAGAGGAAAGUGGAAUUCCCGGUGUAGUGGUGAUAUGCGUAGAUAUCGGGAGGAACACCUGUGGCGAAGGCGGCUUUCUGGGCCUUACCUGACGCUGAGACGCGAAAGCGUGGGGAGCGAACCGGAUUAGAUACCCGGGUAGUCCACGCCGUAAACUAUGGACACUAGGUGUGGGGGGUAUCGACCCCCUCCGUGCCGAAGCUAACGCAAUAAGUGUCCCGCCUGGGGAGUACGGGCGCAAGGCUUAAACUCAAAG
rnacentral:rRNA from 1 species